rnacentral:rRNA from 1 species
AUGUGAAAGCCCCGGGCUUAACCUGGGAACUGCAUUUGAAACUGUCUGGCUAGAGUGAGUGAGAGGUUAGUGGAAUUCAAGGCGUAGCGGUGAAAUGCGUAGAGGUCUUGAGGAACAUCAGUGGCGAAGGCGACUAACUGGCACUACACUGACGCUGAGGUACGAAAGCGUGGGGAGCGAACAGGAUUAGAGACCCCGGUAGUCC